rnacentral:lncRNA from 1 species
GGAAAUUUACUAAGAUUACUGGGUUUUCGCUGGAUUUCCAUGGAAACAAAAGACUUCGCUGGAAGUUCGCUGGAAAUCCAACGAAAAACUUCCAGUGAUCUUAAAGUUCGCUGGAAGUUUACUGGGUUUCUUGCGAAAUAUUUCGCGGUGAUGUAAAAAGCGUUGCUGUUACAACUUCUGCAAGCAGUUAAAACUUGGAAAAUUGAUAAUAUAGCUUCUUAAAAUAAUAUUUCAAAUUUUUGUAUAAAAGUAAUCCUUUUUAUUUUAUUUUUUGCAUCUAAUAGAUGAUCUAUAGUGUGAGUUUCAAUUAUUAUUAGUUCUACUCAAGUUACAAAACAAAAUCAUCUGGAUAAAAGUGAUAAAAUGCUAUUGGUUGGAAAUUGAUAAAUUAAUAAAAAAUGAUUGAUUCUAAUUGCGCGAAAAUAUGUUGCUCUAAAGACCCAAACCGAAAAGAAUGCCUAAAGUGGUUUUCAAAAGAUGAAUUGACGAAUUUCUUAAUUCUUUUUGUUUCGUUGUGAUAAUUUGUCGUAUGAGAACGCUAACGAGAAAAAACUUCUUAAAUAUAGAAACAUGCGUAAUAUAAAGUUUACUUAUGCCUAUAAAAAAAUAUGUUUUACAUUAAUUAAUAAAUUAACUUUUUAGUUUCUUGUUAAAAAUUGUAUUCUGUAUUGAAGUUUAUUUCUGAGAAUUUGUAAUUAUACCUAAGAUAAUCUAAUCCUACAUUGUAUUUUAAUUUAUAAAACUCGAUAUUUUAAAAUAAAUAUAUUACUUUUUUAUCGCG